GGGGGUGUGGCUCAGUUGGUAGAGUGCUUGUUUAGAAUGUGUGAGGCACUGGGUUCAAUUCCCAGCACCACAU
rnacentral:tRNA from 1 species